UACAGAGGGGGCAAGCGUUGUUCGGAAUUACUGGGCGUAAAGGGCGCGUAGGCGGCUGCCUAAGUCAGACGUGAAAUCCCUCGGCUCAACCGGGGAACUGCGUCUGAUACUGGGUGGCUUGAAUUCGGGAGAGGGAUGCGGAAUUCCAGGUGUAGCGGUGAAAUGCGUAGAUAUCUGGAGGAACACCGGUGGCGAAGGCGGCAUCCUGGACCGAGAUUGACGCUGAGGCGCGAAAGCCAGGGGAGCAAACGGG
rnacentral:rRNA from 1 species